rnacentral:rRNA from 1 species
CUGAAGUCAACCGAGACUACCCGCUGA